GAUGAACGCUGGCGGCGUGCCUAAUACAUGCAAGUCGAGCGAACAGAUGAGGAGCUUGCUCCUCUGACGUUAGCGGCGGACGGGUGAGUAACACGUGGAUAACCUACCUAUAAGACUGGGAUAACUUCGGGAAACCGGAGCUAAUACCGGAUAAUAUAUUGAACCGCAUGGUUCAAUAGUGAAAGACGGUUUUGCUGUCACUUAUAGAUGGAUCCGCGCCGCAUUAGCUAGUUGGUAAGGUAACGGCUUACCAAGGCAACGAUGCGUAGCCGACCUGAGAGGGUGAUCGGCCACACUGGAACUGAGACACGGUCCAGACUCCUACGGGAGGGAGCAGUAGGGAAUCUUCCGCAAUGGGCGAAAGCUUGACGGAGCAACGCCGCGUGAGUGAUGAAGGUCUUCGGAUCGUAAAACUCUGUUAUUAGGGAAGAACAAAUGUGUAAGUAACUAUGCACGUCUUGACGGUACCUAAUCAGAAAGCCACGGCUAACUACGUG
rnacentral:rRNA from 1 species